rnacentral:rRNA from 1 species
UUAUAAGAGACAGCAGUCGCCGCGGGAAUACGGAGGGUGCAAGCGUUAAUCGGAAUUACUGGGCGUAAAGCGCACGCAGGCGGUCUGACAAGUCAGAUGUGAAAUCCCCGGGCUUAACCUGGGAACUGCAUUUGAAACUGUCAGGCUGGAGUCUUGUAGAGGGGGGUGGAAUUCCAGGUGUAGCGGUGAAAUGCGUAGAGAUCUGGAGGAAUACCGGUGGCGAAGGCGGCCCCCUGGACAAAGACUGACGCUCAGGUGCGAAAGCGUGGGGAGCAAACAGGAUUAGAUACCCGCGUAGUCCCUGUCUCUUAUAC